rnacentral:rRNA from 1 species
UACGGAGGGUGCAAGCGUUUAUCCGGAUUCACUGGGUUUAAAGGGUGCGUAGGUGGGUCUGUAAGUCAGUGGUGAAAUCUCCGUGCUUAACAUGGAACUGCCAUUGAUACUAUAGGUCUUGAAUUUUCUGGAGGUAAGCGGAAUAUGUCAUGUAGCGGUGAAAUGCUUAGAUAUGACAUAGAACACCAAUUGCGAAGGCAGCUUGCUACAGGGAUAUUGACACUGAGGCACGAAAGCGUGGGGAUCAAACAGG